CCUACGGGGUGCAGCAGUGGGGAAUAUUGCACAAUGGGGGAAACCCUGAUGCAGCGACGCCGCGUGAGCGAUGAAGUAUUUCGGUAUGUAAAGCUCUAUCAGCAGGGAAGAAAAUGACGGUACCUGACUAAGAAGCCCCGGCUAACUACGUGCCAGCACCCGCGGUAAUACGUAGGGGGCCAGCGUUAUCCGGAUUUACUGGGUGUAAAGGGGGCGUAGACGGCUGUGCAAGCCAGAUGUGAAAGCCCGGGGCUCAACCCCGGGACUGCAUUUGUAACUGUGUGGCUGGAGUGUCGGAGAGGCAGGCGGAAUUCCUAGUGUAGCGGUGAAAUGCGUAGAUAUUAGGAGGAACACCAGUGGCGAAGGCGGCCUGCUGGACGAUGACUGACGUUGAGGCUCGAAAGCGUGGGGAGCAAACAGGAUUAGAUACCCCAGUAGUC
rnacentral:rRNA from 1 species